rnacentral:rRNA from 1 species
GAGGGGGAUAACACUUGGAAACAGGUGCUAAUACCGCAUAACCAUAGUUACCGCAUGGUAACUAUGUAAAAGGUGGCUAUGCUACCGCUUUUGGAUGGGCCCGCGGCGCAUUAGCUAGUUGGUGGGGUAAAGGCUUACCAAGGCAAUGAUGCGUAGCCGAACUGAGGGGUUGAUCGGCCACAUUGGGACUGAGACACGGCCCAAACUCCUACGGGAGGCAGCAGUAGGGAAUCUUCCACAAUGGGCGAAAGCCUGAUGGAGCAACGCCGCGUGGGUGAAGAAGGUCUUCGGAUCGUAAAACCCUGUUGUUAGAGAAGAAAGUGCGUGAGAGUAACUGUUCACGUUUCGACGGUAUCUAACCAGAAAGCCACGGCUAACUACGUGCCAGCAGCCGCGGUAAUACGUAGGUGGCAAGCGUUAUCCGGAUUUAUUGGGCGUAAAGGGAACGCAGGCGGUCUUUUAAGUCUGAUGUGAAAGCCUUCGGCUUAACCGGAGUAGUGCAUUGGAAACUGGGAGACUUGAGUGCAGAAGAGGAGAGUGGAACUCCAUGUGUAGCGGUGAAAUGCGUAGAUAUAUGGAAGAACACCAGUGGCGAAAGCGGCUCUCUGGUCUGUAACUGACGCUGAGGUUCGAAAGCGUGGGUAGCAAACAGGAUUAGAUACCCUGGUAGUCCACGCCGUAAACGAUGAAUGCUAAGUGUUGGAGAGUUUCCGCCCUUCAGUGCUGCAG